GUCGAACGGCAGCAUGAUCUAGCUUGCUAGAUUGAUGGCGAGUGGCGAACGGGUGAGUAAUACAUCGGAACGUGCCCUGUAGUGGGGGAUAACUAGUCGAAAGAUUAGCUAAUACCGCAUACGACCUGAGGGUGAAAGUGGGGGACCGCAAGGCCUCAUGCUAUAGGAGCGGCCGAUGUCUGAUUAGCUAGUUGGUGAGGUAAAGGCUCACCAAGGCGACGAUCAGUAGCUGGUCUGAGAGGACGAUCAGCCACACUGGGACUGAGACACGGCCCAGACUCCUACGGGAGGCAGCAGUGGGGAAUUUUGGACAAUGGGGGCAACCCUGAUCCAGCAAUGCCGCGUGUGUGAAGAAGGCCUUCGGGUUGUAAAGCACUUUUGUCCGGAAAGAAAUCGCACUUACUAAUAUUAGGUGUGGAUGACGGUACCGGAAGAAUAAGGACCGGCUAACUACGUGCCGGCAGCCGCGGUAAUACGUAGGGUCCAAGCGUUAAUCGGAAUUACUGGGCGUAAAGCGUGCGCAGGCGGUUGUGCAAGACCGAUGUGAAAUCCCCGGGCUUAACCUGGGAAUUGCAUUGGUGACUGCACGGCUAGAGUGUGUCAGAGGGGGGUAGAAUUCCACGUGUAGCAGUGAAAUGCGUAGAGAUGUGGAGGAAUACCGAUGGCGAAGCAGCCCCCUGGGAUAACACUGACGCUCAUGCACGAAAGCGUGGGNAGCAAACAGGAUUAGAUACCCUGGUAGUCCACGCCCUAAACGAUGUCAACUAGUUGUUGGGGAUUCAUUUCCUUAGUAACGUAGCUAACGCGUGAAGUUGACCGCCUGGGGAGUACGGUCGCAAGAUUAAAACUCAAAGGAAUUGACGGGGACCCGCACAAGCGGUGGAUGAUGUGGAUUAAUUCGAUGCAACGCGAAAAACCUUACCUACCCUUGACAUGCCACUAACGAAGCAGAGAUGCAUUAGGUGCUCGAAAGAGAAAGUGGACACAGGUGCUGCAUGGCUGUCGUCAGCUCGUGUCGUGAGAUGUUGGGUUAAGUCCCGCAACGAGCGCAACCCUUGUCUCUAGUUGCUACGAAAGGGCACUCUAGAGAGACUGCCGGUGACAAACCGGAGGAAGGUGGGGAUGACGUCAAGUCCUCAUGGCCCUUAUGGGUAGGGCUUCACACGUCAUACAAUGGUGCAUACAGAGGGUUGCCAAGCCGCGAGGUGGAGCUAAUCCCAGAAAAUGCAUCGUAGUCCGGAUCGUAGUCUGCAACUCGACUACGUGAAGCUGGAAUCGCUAGUAAUCGCGGAUCAGCAUGCCGCGGUGAAUACGUUCCCGGGUCUUGUACACACCGCCCGUCACACCAUGGGAGUGGGUUUUGCCAGAAGUAGUUAGCCUAACCGCAAGGGGGGCGAUUACCACGGCAGGGUUCAUGACUGGGGUGAAGUCGUAACAAGGUA
rnacentral:rRNA from 1 species